UACGUAGGAGGCGAGCGUUGUCCGGAGUUACUGGGCGUAAAGGGUGCGCAGGCGGCGGUUCGCGUGGCGAGAUGAAAUCUCCUGGCUUACCUGGGAGGAUGGUCGCCAGACGGGAUCGCUUGAGGGUCGGAGAGGGGCGUGGAAUUCCGGGUGGAGCGGUGAAAUGCGCAGAUAUCAGGAAGAACACCAAUGGCGAAAGCAGCUUUCUGGGACGGUACUGACGCUGAGACGCGAAAGCGUGGGGAGCGAACAGG
rnacentral:rRNA from 1 species